ensembl:misc_RNA Y_RNA Y RNA
GGCUGGUCUGAUGGUAGUGGGUUAUCAGCACUUACUAACAUUAGUGUCACUAAAGUUCGUAUUCAACCCCCAACUGCUAAAUUUGACUGGCUUAAA